rnacentral:rRNA from 1 species
AUGCGAAAAGCUCCGACCGUAUGGGAAGAGCGCUCUUAUUAGACCAGAACCAAUGGGGUCGCAAGAUCCCUUUGUAUGGUGACUCUGGAUAACUUUGUGCUGAUCGCAUGGCCUCGAGCCGGCGACGUAUCUUUCAAAUGUCUGCCCUAUCAACCUUCGAUGGUAAGCGAUUUGCCUACCAUGGUUGUAACGGGUAACGGGGAAUCAGGGUCCGAUUCCUGAGAGGGAGCAUGAGAAAUGGCUACCACAUCUACGGAAGGCAGCAGGCGCGCAAAUUACCCACUCCUAGAUCGGGGAGGUAGUGACGAAAAAUAACAAUACCGGACUCUAUGAGGCUCGGUAAUUGAAAUGAGUACAGUUUAAAACCCUUAACGAGGAUCUAUUGGAGGGCAAGUCUGGUGCCAGCAGCCGCGGUAAUUCCAGCUCCAAUAGCGUAUAUUAAAGUUGUUGCAGUUAAAAAGCUCGUAGUUGGAUCUCGGGUACUAGCAUGUGGUACGCUUAAUUGCUGUUACUGCUUGUCUAGUCCUAAUCAAUCGGUUGGCCGUUUAUGCCCUUUAUUGGGUGUUUUCGGUAGCCGGUACGUUUACUUUGAGAAAAUUAGAGUGCUUAAAGCAGGCUUUACGCCUGAAUAAUGUUGCAUGGAAUAAUAGAAUAGGACCUCGGUUCUAUUUUGUUGGUUUUGUAGAGCAUUGAGGUAAUGAUUAAUAGGGACAGACGGGGGCAUUCGUAUUGCGGUGUUAGAGGUGAAAUUCUUGGAUCGCCGCAAGACGAACAACUGCGAAAGCAUUUGCCAAGAAUGUUUUCAUUAAUCAAGAUCGAAAGUUGGAGGUUCGAAGACGAUUAGAUACCGUCCUAGUUCCAACCAUAAACGAUGCCAACUAGCGAUUAGCUGCUGUUAAUUAAACGACACAGCUAGCAGCUUCCGGGAAACCAAAGUUUUUGGGUUCCGGGGGAAGUAUGGUUGCAAAGCUGAAACUUAAAGGAAUUGACGGAAGGGCACCACCAGGAGUGGAGCCUGCGGCUUAAUUUGACCCAACACGGGAAAUCUCACCCGGCCCGGACACUGUAAGGAUUGACAGAUUGAGAGCUCUUUCUUGAUUCGGUGGGUGGUGGUGCAUGGCCGUUCUUAGUUGGUGGAGCGAUUUGUCUGGUUAAUUCCGAUAACGAACGAGACUCUAGCCUGCUAAAUAGUACGCCGA